CCGGAAGUGUUGAUGUAAUUGCUGUGAACUCUAAACUUCCGGCCAACAGAAGGUCGAACAACAACAACAGCAGCUAGCAGCUAGCUGUUAGCAGUUAAAGUUCAACCGUUACCGGUCAGCGGCGCCGUUAAACGUCAGGAUUUAUUCACUGUGAGCGGGAGAGCGGCGACUUCCGGCCGCCGUUUGAACAAACUAACAGGCUAACCGGCUAGCUCCUGGGCUAACUGUUACCUGGUAGCAUGCAGUGCGCUACCCUGCUGAAGAAGAGACGUCUGGAGACGGACGCGGAGCCCUGGAGCUGCAGACCGGUGCGUGCGCGUGCGUAACAGAAGCGGGUGUGUUUGGAGGCGGGACUCCAGACAGCUGAGUGUCCAAUGGAAACCGUGGAUAGUUUGACUGCGUCCAAUCAGCAUCAAGAACAGCAGGUGGGUCCGGUCCGGCCCAGAGCUCCUCUGCUCUGCUGUCCCAGAUGUCUCGGAGGAGAACCGGGUCACAUCAACCACAUCAUGGGAGUCUGAACAGCUGAUCAACAACACUCCUACAGGACGAAGAGGACGACGACGAAGAGGAGGAGGAGGACGACGAGGAGCACGAGGAGGAGGCGUCUAACAUGUCACAAACCGUCCACACCUUCUUCUUCAGGUGUUUUACAACCUCUCCGCCCCACCCCGUCCACUCCUAUCCGAUGAUGUCAUUAUGACCACGCCCACUUAAAGGGCCGCAGCUGUGUGGGUUUUUUUUGUUUGUUUGUUUGUUUGUUUAAAGUGCAGAUUGUAAUUUCA